UUUCCGGGGUGGAGCCGGGGAGGGUGGGCGUUUAGGCUGCGUCGACCCCUCAGCCCCCCUCCAGGAGACGUUCGGAACCCAGGACAUGUCGGGAUUGAGGAGAUACGAGGUGGCGCUGGAGGCUGAGGAGGAGAUCUACUGGGGCUGUUUCUACUUUUUCCCCUGGCUGCGCAUGUGGCGGAGGGAGCGGAGCUCAGCGCACCCUCGGGAGCAGAAGCUGGAGCCUCUGCGGGGCCUGAUGAGCUGUCUGUCAAGCGGACUGGGCACUGCUCCCCAGCGCUCCGGUCGCAGCCUCCCCCGCCGCACCCCCGCUGCCACUGCCCAGCCAGCUGGUGCAUUAAAGAUUUAAACCAAAGCCACCGUCCUGCCCUCCUGAUUCUGCCGCCGCUACCGCCAUUCGGGCUGGGAGCCCCUCUCCACGCCGGCUGUUUCCGUAUUGACGGGGCCUCUCUCCCUGAUAGGGUGUCCGUCCGUGUCCAGGCUCCCAUUAUUCCUAAGGGCCCCUCAUCAGAGUCAGGCCUCCCCUUACUACCAGUGAUUGCCUUCCACCACCUAAGCCCCCCGCCCCACCACACACACACUCAUCUCUGUGAGUGGCCUGUAUGGAGGGAGCUAAAUAAUCCUGGCUUUAUCUUCCUCCCAGCCUUGUCCCCACAUCCAUAAAUCCUCACA